rnacentral:rRNA from 1 species
CCUACGGGUGGCAGCAGUGGGGGAUAUUGCACAAUGGGGGGAACCCUGAUGCAGCGACGCCGCGUGGGUGAAGGAGUGCUUCGGCAUGUAAAGCCCUAUCGGCAGGGAAGAAACAAGACGGUACCUGACUAAGAAGCCACGGCUAAAUACGUGCCAGCAGCCGCGGUAAUACGUAGGGGGCGAGCGUUAUCCGGAUUAACUGGGUGUAAAGGGCGUGGAGGCGGUAAAGCAAGUCAGAUGUGAAAACCAUGGGCUCAACCUUUGGCCUGCAUUUGAAACUGUUUUGCUUGAGUACUGGAGAGGCAGACGGAAGUCCUAGUGUAGCGGUGAAAUGCGUAGAUAUUAGGAGGAACACCAGUGGCGAAGGCGGUCUACUGGACAGCAACUGACGUUGAGGCUCGAAAGCGUGGGGAGCAAACAGGAUUAGAUACCCCUGUAGUC